rnacentral:rRNA from 1 species
UACGGAGGGGGCAAGCGUUGUCCGGACUUACUGGGCGUAAAGGGCGCGUAGGCGGUGCGGUAAGUCACCUGUGAAACCUCUAGGCUCAACCUAGAGCCUGCGGCGAAACUGCCGUGCUUGAGGGUGGGAGAGGUGCGUGGAAUUCCGAGGUGUAGCGGUGAAAUGCGUAGAUAUCUGGAGGAACACCGGUGGCGAAGGACGG